CCCAGACUCCUACGGGAGGCAGCAGUGGGGGAUAUUGGACAAUGGGGGAAACCCUGAUCCAGCGACGCCGCGUGAGUGAAGAAGUAUUUCGGUAUGUAAAGCUCUGUCAGCAGGGAAGAAAGAAAUGACGGUACCUGACUAAGAAGCCCCGGCUAACUACGUGCCAGCAGCCGCGGUAAUACGUAGGGGGCGAGCGUUAUCCGGAUUCACUGGGUGUAAAGGGAGCGUAGACGGCCGUGCAAGCCAGGAGUGAAAGCCCGGGGCCCAACCCCGGGACUGCUCUUGGAACUGUGCGGCUGGAGUGCGGGAGGGGCAGGCGGAAUUCCUGGUGUAGCGGUGAAAUGCGUAGAUAUCAGGAGGAACACCGGCGGCGAAGGCGGCCUGCUGGACCGCGACUGACGUUGAGGCUCGAAAGCGUGGGGAGCGAACAGGAUUAGAUACCCCGGUAAGG
rnacentral:rRNA from 1 species